UACGGAGGGUGCGAGCGUUGUCCGGAAUCAUUGGGCGUAAAGGGCGCGUAGGUGGCGGGACAAGCGUGCGGUGAAAGCCUGGGGCUCAACCCCGGGUCGGCCGUGCGAACUGUUUUGCUUGAGCACUGUAGAGGCAGGCGGAAUUCCGGGUGUAGCGGUGGAAUGCGUAGAGAUCCGGAAGAACACCGGUGGCGAAGGCGGCCUGCUGGGCAGUAGCUGACACUGAGGCGCGACAGCGUGGGAGCAACAGG
rnacentral:rRNA from 1 species